UGGCCCAAUCUCACAGACUAAAAGUCUCAG
rnacentral:piRNA from 1 species